UACGUAGGGUGCAAGCGUUAAUCGGAAUUACUGGGCGUAAAGCGUGCGCAGGCGGUUGUGCAAGACAGAUGUGAAAUCCCCGGGCUUAACCUGGGAACUGCAUUUGUGACUGCAUCGCUGGAGUGCGGCAGAGGGGGAUGGAAUUCCGCGUGUAGCAGUGAAAUGCGUAGAUAUGCGGAGGAACACCGAUGGCGAAGGCAAUCCCCUGGGCCUGCACUGACGCUCAUGCACGAAAGCGUGGGGAUCAAACAGG
rnacentral:rRNA from 1 species